rnacentral:misc_RNA from 1 species
GACUUAUCAAACCACCUCGUCUGCUUGGUGGCUUUGGAUGUGGGGGUCUUUGCAGGCUUUGAACAAAGGUCGGCUCCCCUGAAACGCAUUAGUGGCAUCUGAGCUGCUACUAUAGGUGUGAUAAAUUAUCUAUGCCUUUGGUACGCCGCAUGAACGGAUCGUGCUGCUCACAACGAAAAAAAUAACUUUGACAA